GAUGAACGCUAGCGGCAGGCUUAACACAUGCAAGUCGAGGGGUAACAUAGUUGCUUGCAACUGAUGACGACCGGCGCACGGGUGCGUAACGCGUAUACAAUUUGCCUUUUACAGGGGGAUAGCCCAGAGAAAUUUGGAUUAAUACCCUAUGGUCUAUAGAUAUGGCAUCAUAAUUAUAGUAAAGAUUUAUCGGUAAAAGAUGAGUAUGCGUCCUAUUAGCUAGAUGGAGAGGUAACGGCUCCCCAUGGCUACGAUAGGUAGGGGUCCUGAGAGGGAGAUCCCCCACACUGGUACUGAGACACGGACCAGACUCCUACGGGAGGCAGCAGUGAGGAAUAUUGGACAAUGGAGGCAACUCUGAUCCAGCCAUGCCGCGUGCAGGAAGACUGCCCUAUGGGUUGUAAACUGCUUUUAUAUAGGAAGAAACCCCUGAACGUGUUCGGGGCUGACGGUACUAUAUGAAUAAGCACCGGCUAACUCCG
rnacentral:rRNA from 1 species